rnacentral:rRNA from 1 species
UGGUUUUAGAAGCAUGGCUGAGAUAUGAAAGACGCUUUCGGGUGUCAGUAAUGGAUGGACCCGCGCUGCAUUAGUUAGUUGGUGAGGUAAUGGCUCACCAAGACCCUGAUGCAUAGCCGACCUGAGAGGGUGAUCGGCCACACUGGGAUUGAGACACGGCCCAGACUCCUACGGGAGGCAGCAGUAGGGAAUCUUCGGCAAUGGAUCGAAAGUCUGACCGAGCAACGCACGCGUGAGUGAAGA